rnacentral:rRNA from 1 species
UACGUAGGGAGCGAGCGUUGUCCGGAUUUAUUGGGCGUAAAGAGCGCGUAGGCGGCUCGGUAAGCCGGAUGUGAAACCUCCAAGCUCAACUUGGAGCGGCCAUUCGGAACUGCUGUGGCUAGAGUCUGGUAGGGGAACACGGAAUUCCUGGUGUAGCGGUGAAAUGCUUAGAUAUCAGGAGGAACAACCAGUGGCGAAGGCGGUGUUCUGGGCCAGUAC